AACCGCCUCUUUCUCUCACGCUGUUCAUUCCUCUCUCUAAAAUGGACUCUGCCCUUGUGUGUCUCUAUGAAUUUGAGCCAUUUUAGGAAGGGAAUGAACAUUGUGUUAUCUGAGAAAUACCCCAAACUAGUUCUUCUGCUACAAAUGCCCGUCCUACCCGACCUCGGUCGAUAAUCCUCGACGAAUGUUUUGGACAAAGAUUAAGGAAGAGAAACCUGACAAGGAUUUUCCAGCAGGAAAAGCCCAGACACCCUGCAACAAGGGUGCUCUGCCUGCAAAUUCAAAGAUUAUUAUAAGUGAGAAAGAACAGGGUGAGACUAUGAACUAACAGGAGAGUAAUAUGAACAAAGUGGGACAAGGACAACACGAAAUCAAGAAAGUUUUUAAAUCCAAAUCAAUAGAGAGUUUUUAAAACCAAAUCAAGAGGGAGUUUUUAAAAAGUUGGGAUGUGAUCGAUUGAUUUACGAUUUGGGAAAACUGUUUUGUAACAUUUGUCAAUAUGGAAACUAAAAACACGAAAAGUUUUAAAUCAACCCAAAUCAAAACAUGUAAAAAAGUUGGGAUGCGAUUGAUUGACGCCACAUCCAUGUCUGCGGACCUUCAAAUUACUCAGGAGUCAGGACAAUAGUGCAAUCUCUAAUACCAAUAACCCCAGGAGCUUCCCUUACAGCGUUAAGCAGCAAUGUUGGGAAAAGGCUGAGAAGGUCAAGGGCGGAGACCCUGAUCAUUGGCGAUGAGACGCGCUAGGUAAUAUCGUCUUGUUGGGUGUCCUGGCUGCUUGUGUCACGAUUAUGAUCACAUUUGGCCUUACUCCAAGUCUAGUUUUGAAAGAUUUUUCUUUGUGUGGAUGCACAUGCUUGCAUUUCCAACUUUGCAGAAUCAUUCAUGUUCUUGCAUCCAUUUCAAAUAAAGAACUGUUAUGAGUUCGUGAGCAACUUUGUAUUUCGAAUAUUCUUGGUUACCGCCAUGUGCUUCUCACCUUUCACAUGGACUGCGGAAAAAAGAUAUGAACUCUGGUUCGGGAGAAUCCAUUGUGGUUUAAGGAUGCCUGGCAGUGUUUCUUCCUCACCAGGCAACUGUCAUUCGGCCAAUGGGUAAUCGCACCAAGAUAUCCAGAUCAGAUCUCAUUCGGAGAAGUUCCUACUGAAAAAUUUCAGUCACUUGGUUUGACCGAAUGCGGGUCGAGACAUGGAUCUUCUUGAAGUUACAAGACUCUGGAGGUGGAAAGUAACCUAAUUUACCAACAUAAAGAUUCAGAAAAGAGAGAAGAUGCUCAAUCUUUGAAAAAUCGCCUUGUGCUUUCGUGGAGUAUUAAAGGGAAUGUCACCUUCCAGAGGUAGAGUAAGCACUCAGAGCUUUAAGAGCUGUUGGACUUCAAGUUCAGGUGAUUUACCUACAUUCGAGAAACCCCUCAUCACACAAAUCUUGAACCAGUCUCGAGUGAUGCUCAUGUCUUAUCAAUCAUCUCAUAAUUACCUCGAAACACACGCUUAUCUCAUAUGUAGUAAUAAAUCAAAAUAUUAUAUUUCCUUCUUGAUUAGU